rnacentral:rRNA from 1 species
UACGAGAGGCCCAAACGUUAUUCGGAAUUACUGGGCUUAAAGAGUUCGUAGGCGGUAUGACAAGUAGGGUGUGAAAGCCCUCGGCUUAACCGAGGAAUUGCGCUCUAAACUGUCGUACUCGAGGAACCUAGAGGUGAGCAGAACAGAUGGUGGAGCGGUGAAAUGCGUUGAUAUCAUCUGGAAUACCGGGAUGGCGAAGGGCGGCUCACU